rnacentral:rRNA from 1 species
GAUGAACGCUAGCGGCAGGCUUAACACAUGCAAGUCGUGGGGCAGCGCGAGGUAGCAAUACUUUGGCGGCGACCGGCAAACGGGUGCGGAACACGUACGCAACCUUCCUCAGAGCGGGGAAUAGCCUCUCGAAAGAGAGAUUAAUACCCCAUAGUAUCUCGAAGCUGCAUGGUUUUGAGAUUAAAGCUUCGGCACUUUGAGAUGGGCGUGCGGCUGAUUAGGUAGUUGGUAGGGUAACGGCCUACCAAGCCAACGAUCAGUAGCUGAUGUGAGAGCAUGAUCAGCCACACGGGCACUGAGACACGGGCCCCGAUCCUACGGGAGGCAGCAGUGAGGAAUAUUGGUCAAUGGAGGAAACUCUGAACCAGCCAUGCCGCGUGAAGGAUGAAGGUCCUCUGGAUUGUAAACUUC